ACGGCCGUACCAUGCUGAAUAUACCGGUUCUCGUUAGAUCACCGAAGUUAAGCAUCAUUGGGCGCGGUCAGUAAACCACCUGGGAACACUGCGUGCCGUU